CCGAAGAGAUUUGGAAGUGCUCGCAAGAGAANCGGAACACAGGUGCUGCAUGGCUGUCGUCAGCUCGUGUCGUGAGAUGUUGGGUUAAGUCCCGCAACGAGCGCAACCCUUGUCAUUAGUUGCUACGAAAGGGCACUCUAAUGAGACUGCCGGUGACAAANCGGAGGAAGGUGGGGAUGACGUCAAGUCCUCAUGGCCCUUAUGGGUAGGGCUUCACACGUCAUACAAUGGUCGGGACAGAGGGUCGCCAACCCGCGAGGGGGAGCCAAUCCCAGAAACCCGAUCGUAGUCCGGAUCGCAGUCUGCAACUCGACUGCGUGAAGUCGGAAUCGCUAGUAAUCGCGGAUCAGCAUGUCGCGGUGAAUACGUUCCCGGGUCUUGUACACACCG
rnacentral:rRNA from 1 species